CGGCCACAUUGGGACUGAGACACGGCCCAAACUCCUACGGGAGGCAGCAGUGGGGAAUAUUGCACAAUGGGGGAAACCCUGAUGCAGCGACGCCGCGUGGAGGAAGAAGGUCUUCGGAUUGUAAACUCCUGUUGUUGAGGAAGAUAAUGACGGUACUCAACAAGGAAGUGACGGCUAACUACGUGCCAGCAGCCGCGGUAAAACGUAGGUCACAAGCGUUGUCCGGAAUUACUGGGUGUAAAGGGAGCGCAGGCGGGAAGACAAGUUGGAAGUGAAAUCCAUGGGCUCAACCCAUGAACUGCUUUCAAAACUGUUUUUCUUGAGUAGUGCAGAGGUAGGCGGAAUUCCCGGUGUAGCGGUGGAAUGCGUAGAUAUCGGGAGGAACACCAGUGGCGAAGGCGGCCUACUGGGCACCAACUGACGCUGAGGCUCGAAAGUGUGGGUAGCAAACAGGAUUAGAUACCCUGGUAGUCCACACCGUAAACGAUGAUUACUAGGUGUUGGAGGAUUGACCCCUUCAGUGCCGCAGUUAACACAAUAAGUAAUCCACCUGGGGAGUACGACCGCAAGGUUGAAACUCAAAGGAAUUGACGGGGGCCCGCACAAGCAGUGGAGUAUGUGGUUUAAUUCGACGCAACGCGAAGAACCUUACCAAGUCUUGACAUCCUGCGACGCACAUAGAAAUAUGUGUUUCCUUCGGGACGCAGAGACAGGUGGUGCAUGGUUGUCGUCAGCUCGUGUCGUGAGAUGUUGGGUUAAGUCCCGCAACGAGCGCAACCC
rnacentral:rRNA from 1 species